rnacentral:rRNA from 1 species
AAUCAACGCUGGCGGCGUGCCUAACACAUGCAAGUCGAACGCGAAAGCCCCGCAAGGGGCAAGUAGAGUGGCAAACGGGUGAGUAACACGUGGGUGACCUGCCUUCGAGUGGGGGGAUAACGUCCCGAAAGGGACGCUAAUACCGCAUGACAUCCUGCCUUUGGAGAGGUGGAGAUCAAAGCCGGGGAUCGCAAGACCUGGCGCUUGAAGAGGGGCCCGCGCCUGAUUAGCUAGNGGUGGGGUAACGGCUCACCAAGGCGACGAUCAGUAUCCGGCCUGAGAGGGCGGACGGACACACUGGGACUGAGACACGGCCCAGACUCCUACGGGAGGCAGCAGUGGGGAAUUGUUCGCAAUGGGCGCAGGCCUGACGACGCAACGCCGCGUGGAGGACGAAGAUCUUCGGGUCGUAAACUCCUGUCGAGCGGGACGAACGCUUCGCGGAUG